rnacentral:rRNA from 1 species
UACGGAGGAUCCAAGCGUUAUCCGGAAUCAUUGGGUUUAAAGGGUCCGUAGGCGGUUUGGUAAGUCAGUGGUGAAAGCCCAUCGCUCAACGGUGGAACGGCCAUUGAUACUGCCAGACUUGAAUUAUUAGGAAGUAACUAGAAUAUGUAGUGUAGCGGUGAAAUGCUUAGAGAUUACAUGGAAUACCAAUUGCGAAGGCAGGUUACUACUAAAUGGAUUGACGCUGAUGGACGAAAAGCGUGGGUAGCGAACAGG